rnacentral:lncRNA from 1 species
GCCAAGGCAUGCAACAGUCUUGCUUCCAGUGCCCUGCAUGCACUGCCAAAGUCUGCUGUCUUGGGGCAACUGGCUAUGAAGACCAGUGAUAUUUCCACAAUUUCAGGGUCUACAGAAGUUCACUGUGUCCUGGAAUCUCACUUUAGCCCCAACAUAAAUGACAGUGGCUGAACUCCAUGGAGUUUUUAUAUAGGUAGACUGGUGAACUGUCUCCUUGCACACAUGAUUAGAUUGAGCCAUUUACUAAGAGCAAAGUACUCCUUGAAGCUGUCAUGUCCAUCUACCUUCAUAUUCUGCCUGACCGCAAUGUCAAAGGUGACCUCCAUUGGGAAAAAGGAAAUCUGAGCUCUUCUCCACCAGUGCCUGAGGUUGGAUCAACAUAUCCAGUGUGUAUAAAACACCUCCAUGUGGAUUAGGUGAUCCUUCACCCAUCGAGAGGACAACAACCCAGGAGCAUCCAACGAGAGUCCUGCUGUCAUGUUCUUUGAUUCAGACAUCUAAAGACUAUACCACAGCAGAUAGCAGCAUAAUUUAGAAUCAUCUGUGAGGAGGGAACCUCCUGCUUUGAGGA